CCUACGGGAGGCAGCAGUGAGGAAUAUUGGUCAAUGGCCGUAAGGCUGAACCAGCCAAGUAGCGUGAGGGAAGACUGCCCUAUGGGUUGUAAACCUCUUUUAUGCGGGGAUAAAGGUGUCCACGUGUGGAUGUUUGCAGGUACCGCAUGAAUAAGGACCGGCUAAUUCCGUGCCAGCAGCCGCGGUAAUACGGAAGGUCAGGGCGUUAUCCGGAUUUAUUGGGUUUAAAGGGAGCGUAGGCCGGUCUUUAAGCGUGCCGGGAAAUUUUGUGGCUCAACCAUGAGAGUGCGGCGCGAACUGGAGACCUUGAGUGCGCGGAAGGCAGGCGGAAUUCGUGGUGUAGCGGUGAAAUGCUUAGAUAUCACGAAGAACCCCGAUUGCGAAGGCAGCCUGCCGCAGCGUUACUGACGCUGAAGCUCGAAAGCGCGGGUAUCGAACAGGAUUAGAUACCCCAGUAGUC
rnacentral:rRNA from 1 species